UGGGGAAUUGUUCACAAUGGGCGCAAGCCUGAUGACGCAACGCCGCGUGGGGGAUGAAGGUCUUCGGAUCGUAAACCCCUGUCGAAUGGGACGAAAGACUCGCGAGUGAAUACUUCGCGAGAGUGACGGUACCGUUAAAGGAAGCCACGGCUAACUCUGUGCCAGCAGCCGCGGUAAUACAGAGGUGGCAAGCGUUGUUCGGAUUUACUGGGCGUAAAGGGCGCGUAGGCGGCGCGGUAAGUCACUUGUGAAAUCUCUGAGCUUAACUCAGAACGGCCAAGUGAUACUGCAGUGCUAGAGUGUGGAAGGGGCAAUCGGAAUUCUUGGUGUAGCGGUGAAAUGCGUAGAUAUCAAGAGGAACACCUGAGGUGAAGACGGGUUGCUGGGCCAACACUGACGCUGAGGCGCGAAAGCCAGGGGAGCAAACGGGAUUAGAUACCCCUGUAGUCCCUGAGCGGGCUGGCAAGGCGCAU
rnacentral:rRNA from 1 species